rnacentral:tRNA from 1 species
GCGCUCGUAGCUCAGUUGGAUAGAGUGCUGGCCUCCGAAGCCAGAGGUCGUGGGUUCGAAUCCCGCCGAGCGCGCCA